rnacentral:rRNA from 1 species
UACGGAGGGUGCAAGCGUUAAUCGGAAUUACUGGGCGUAAAGCGUGCGCAGGCGGUUUGUUAAGUCCGUUGUGAAAGCCCCGAGCUCAACUUGGGAAUUGCAGUGGAUACUGGCAGGCUGGAGUACGGUAGAGGAAGGUGGAAUUCCCGGUGUAGCAGUGAAAUGCGUAGAUAUCGGGAGGAACACCAGUGGCGAAGGCGGCCUUCUGGACCAG